rnacentral:rRNA from 1 species
UACGGGGGGAGCAAGCGCUGUUCGGAUUUACUGGGCGUAAAGGGCGCGUAGGCGGCCACCGCAAGUCGACUGUGAAAUCUCCGGGCUUAACUCGGAAAGGUCAGCCGAUACUGCGGGGCUAGAGUGCAGAAGGGGCAACUGGAAUUCUCGGUGUAGCGGUGAGAUGCGUAGAUAUCGAGAGGAACACCUGCGGCGAAGGCGGGUUGCUGGGCUGACACUGACGCUGAGGCGCGAAAGCUAGGGGAGCGAACGGG